UUUUACUGAAGGGCAUUUUCGUAAUUCACAAAAUUUAUUGUGUCUGCCCACUUCCACCAGUGAGCACUUUUAGCCAUACAUCUGUGAGCACUCAGCCACACGUUAAAGCUUUUUAUGCUUUCCCAAUUUCACUUUCCCCUCUCAAAAUAUCUGCUCACCAAAAACACAAGCUCUACAAUUUCUUCAUACUUUGUAAAAAAGCUAUCAGUUUGUAGCCGUUUGUGCCGUGCUGGUUAUUGUUCUUAUAUGUGACAGAUCAUCUCCACUUUGGAAUUAAAAGAAAACCCAAGGAAAACUAAAUAAUUAAAAGAUUCUAAGAUCAAAUGUCUAAUAUAAAAAGAAAGGACUGAUACCCAAAUAGAGAGAAAUCUUCAACGUCGUACUGCUUACGGAGAAAUGCCAUCUGAACAAAAAGUAGCACUUCUCGAACGACGAAGAGUGCAAUAUGCUGCCAAAAGGCAAACUACCUUGGAAAAUUCUACUGCUACGACUUCUAAGGAGUCAUCUUCUUCUUUAGACCCCUGCAACAUCAUUCUUCCUCAGCAUACUCUAUAUAUGAGGGAUAUGCCUCUUCCUUUCAGAAAUGGACACACAAUGACACAAAUAGGUUGCUGAAAUAUUCACCAACUACCUUGUUCUCUUGUUUUUCAAAAAAAUAUUCCAAAUUGUAAAUUUUUUGCAGCCAAAAGAUUUCAAUAUGAAAGUCCAUCUUUUUGAUGUAACAAUGGUUCUAUAAAGUUAGCUUCCCAUCAACUACCUCCUGCAUUAAAAAAUCUUUAUUAUAAUGA